rnacentral:rRNA from 1 species
AUGGCCAUGGAUUGCCUCUUGCUGGCCAUCAUCAACACCGUCUGCAUCGGCGCCACGGCCAUGAUGGUCUACGCGUUCAUUCAGCUGGCGUGGGAGCCCCACAGCAAGGGCUCCAUCGCGGCCUCUGUUUACCUCCUCUUCUCGAUCAGCCUCACGGCCGGCUUGUACACGGUCUACUGUUGCACCUUCUUCCAGCAGUCGGCUCUGUUGGUGCUUGGCCUCCGCCACCGCCACCGGGGCACUCCAUGGCGCAGGCCGGCUUCUCUGCCUGCCGUGCCGGAGAGCGCGCGCCCGUCAAAACGUCAGCAGCGGCUGCAGCGCUCUGCCGCCGUUUCUGGGCCAGGCACCGAGUCACAUGCCCGCGCUGGCCCGGGAUCCACCGGUGCAUGGUGGCGCGCGGGUGGUGACUGCAUUUGGCAUCCCGGCGUACGAGCAGCCGGAGGGCGGCGAUGGGUCAGAGUGCACGAUCUGCCUCGGGGAGGUGGAGAAGGGGGACGCGGUGAAGCGGAUGCCGGCGUGCCUGCACAUGUUUCACCGGCAGUGCAUCGACCAGUGGCUACAUGA